UACGUAGGGUGCGAGCGUUGUCCGGAAUCACUGGGCGUAAAGGGUGCGUAGGCGGGUUUUUAAGUCAGGGGUGAAAUCCUGGAGCUCAACUCCGAAACUGCAUUCGAUACUGCCGUGCUUGAGGACUGGAGAGGAGACUGGAAUUUACGGUGUAGCGGUGAAAUGCGUAGAUAUCGUAAGGAAGACCAGUGGCGAAGGCGGGUCUCUGGACAGUUCCUGACGCUGAGGCACGAAGGUCAGGGGAGCAAACGGG
rnacentral:rRNA from 1 species